rnacentral:rRNA from 1 species
GUAGGUGGCAAGCGUUGUCCGGAAUUAUUGGGCGUAAAGCGCGCGCAGGCGGUUCGUUUAAGUCUGAUGUGAAAGCCCACGGGCUCAACCGUGGAGGGUCAUUGGAAACUGGAGAACUUGAGUACAGAAGAGGAAAGCGGAAUUCCAUGUGUAGCGGUGAAAUGCGUAGAGAUGUGGAGGAACACCAGUGGCGAAGGCGGCUUUCUGGUCUGUAACUGACGCUGAGGCGCGAAAGCGUGGGGAGCAAACAGGAUUAGAUACCCUGGUAGUCCACGCCGUAAACGAUGAGUGCUAAGUGUUAGGGGGUUUCCGCCCCUUAGUGCUGCAGCUAACGCAUUAAGCACUCCGCCUGGGGAGUACGGCCGCAAGGCUG